rnacentral:rRNA from 1 species
CAUUCCUCCUCGACUGAAAGCACUUUGGAGAAUUAAAAAGUACGUGAAAAAGCUAGAAAGGGAAGCGCUUGCAACCAGACUUGUCCGCAGUUGCUCAGCCGGUCUCCUGACCGGCGUACUCUUCUGCGGCCAGGCCAGCAUCAGUUCGGGCGGUCGGAUAAAGGCCUCGGGAAUGUAGCUCCUCUCGGGGAGUGUUAUAGCCCGGGGUGGAAUGCGGCCAGCCUGGACUGAGGAACUCGCUUCGGCAAGGAUGCUGGCGUAAUGGUUGUAAGCGGCCCGUCUUGAAACACGGACCAAGA